rnacentral:rRNA from 1 species
UACGAGUGCCCCAAGCGUUAUCCGGAAUUAUUGGGCGUAAAGGGUGUGUAGGUGGUCUUGUUAGUCUUCUGUGAAAUUCUUCGGCUUAACCGGGGGUCCGCAGGGGAAACGGCAGGACUAGAGGAUGCGAGAGGUGUGCGGAACUCAUGGUGUAGGGGUGAAAUCCGUUGAUAUCAUGGGGAACACAGAAAGCGAAGGCAGCACACUGGCGCACUCCUGACACUGAAACACGAAAGCGUGGGUAGCGAAUGGG